rnacentral:lncRNA from 1 species
CUGUCUCCAUUUCAUCUGUAAAAGAUCUGAGAAUACCGUGCAGAGUUGCAAUGAGGAGGGAAUGAGUGACCACAUCAAAGUCAAGUACAUAGACUAUCUCAGGCAAGCUUAUUUUUACCUCUAAGAGUCAGAGGACACUGGUAUUAAUGAUGACACAACCUGCAUCAACUUUCUAUCAACAGAACUUUUUUUUUUAAUAUUUACCUUUUAGUUGUAGUUGGACACAAUACCUUUAUUUUAUUUAUUUAUUUUUAUGUGGUGCCGAGGAUCGAACCCAGGGCCUCACACGUGUUAGGUGAGCACUCUACCGCUGAGCUAUAACAUCAGUCCCCCAACAUAGCAUUGUCUUAACAGUUUUCUUUAAAAUAAUUUACCCUUCCAACCAUGCAAGAGAGAUAGUCAGAGAAAAUCAAUUAUACUGAUAAUUUGAGAACUUAAGAUAUCUGGAAGCAAACAUGAAACUUGAGAAGCUUCUUAUGUGUGUGGGUUUUUUUUUUUUUUUUUUUUAGUCACAUGACCUCUCAAACCUGGUCCUGAUGAGUUUCCUAAAAAAAAUAAAAUUGACUUAGUCCAAUGUGUUUUGAAUACUAUUAACCUUCUGAUGAAGAGAGAUUAGAGAUAACUGGCAAAUUCAGGACACUUGGAUACAAAUGACAGAAAACUCCCAUACCAACCCAUUUUAAAUACAAAAGAAAUCUAUCUGCUUGCAUAACCAAAAUGUCCAAAAGGUGGCACUAGCUGCAAGUAUAAGUUAUUGUAGCCCAAAUGCCAAGUCCUUGACUCUCCAUCUUUGGAACAUCCAUGGAACAUUCUUCCUGAUCCUGUGUCUUCCAACCCCUCAACAGCUCUAGCAACUCCAGUUGUUCAUCACAGUAGCUGGGCAACCCCACUGGAUAAGAGGGUCAUUGGCCCUAAGUGCAUAGGAAAGUCAGUCAGUGAAUCUGCAAAAAAACAUGUGUUAGAGUCAGGAGACUGAAUUAUAGUUCUGACUAUGACUAGUCUUUCUGUAACACUCAGCAAGUCAUUUGCUCCCUCUGGACUUCAGUCAUCUCAUUUGCAAAAUGGAUAAAGUCUCUGCUACCUUGGUUCUGUGCCACAGCUAAUAUUUCUGAAGUUUCCACACUAAAUGCUUUUCCUCUGGAAGUGAGAUAUUAGUGCCCUCUAGUGUUCUCGUCAGUUGGUACCUUGUUAUUUAUUUAGGAUUUGUUGUACAAAUAUCCCCUAAUUCGG